GAUGAACGCUGGCGGCGUGCCUAAUACAUGCAAGUCGAGCGAACAGACGAGGAUUGUGCCCCGCUUACGUUAGCGGCGGACGGGUGAGUAACACGUGGAUAACCUACCUAUAGGACUGGGGUAACUUCGGGAAACCGGAUCUAAUAUCCGUCAAGAUAGUGAACCGCAUGGUUCAUUAGUGAAAGAGCUUUUUGCUGUCACUUAUAGAUGUAUCCGCGCCGCAUUAGCUAGUUGGUAAGGUAACGGCUUACCAAGGCAACGAUGCGUAGCCGAUCUGAGAGGGUGAUCAGCCACACUGGAACUGAGACACGGUCCAGACUCCUACGGGAGGCAGCAGUAGGGAAUCUUCCGCAAUGGGCGAAAGCUUGACGGAGCAACGCCGCGUGAGUGAUGAAGGUCUUCGGAUCGUAAAACUCUGUUAUUAGGGAAGAACAACUGUGAAAGUAAAUAUGCACGUCUUGACGGUACCUAAUGAGAAAGCAACGGCUAACUACGUG
rnacentral:rRNA from 1 species